GAUGCAACAACUUCAAUGAGUAGACAGAACGUAUACGUGACAGAAUAGAGUCUACUACUGAUCCCGCAGCUUUCAUUUUGUACCAUUAUAGUGACUAUUGUGAUAUCUCAUCUACAAAAGUUUAUCAAAAAUGCCGUCCCCUUGUGAUUCCUGCAAAGAUACUUGCGGAGAUGGAAAAUCCAACUGUGGUUCCAAUUGCAAAUGCGGUUCUAACUGUUCAUGUUCCAAAGGAGGUGAGAAAAAGUGUGGCGGAUCUAGUGGAGACAAGAAAGACAAGGAAUAAUUAUGGCAAAUCAUCCGCUUCGAAUGAAAUUAAUUACUUUUAAGUAUUAUGAUGCAGUAUAAGCAGUUUUCUGUUUUCAUUUUGAAUAAUAUACACUAUUGAUACAAA